AAAGUCGUAACAAGGUCUCCGUUGGUGAACCAGCGGAGGGAUCAUUACAAGAGCGCCGAAAGGCUGCUUAAAACCAUCGUGAACCUCUCCAUUAGCGUUGCUUCGGCGGGUGAGGACCGGGCCCCCCGUGGGUCCGGGACGGGACCGACCUCUCCGGAGGUGGGGCCGCCAGCCGGAGGUACGAAACUCUCCUGAAUCUCUGCGAUAUCUCUGAGUAUACAAGCAAAUAAUCAAAACUUUCAACAACGGAUCUCUUGGUUCUG
rnacentral:misc_RNA from 1 species